AGAUGUAUCGUCGGUGGUAUCGAUUUAUGUGUUAUUAAAAACGAUUUCGAGAAGGCGUGUGUUGUAGGUGGCUAUAUUGACAAAAAGUUAGUUGGUGUUUUUGUUUCUAAAUCUACGGUUGGUGUAAGAUCGGCGCCAGUGAUAGCCUGGCAGUUACCUGCGGCAGCAAAUGUUAUCACCAGAGCCUGGUGGUCGGGGGCUGGUCCGGCAGAAAUAUAUUGAGUUAAAGUCACCAUAAUAGCAUAACCCAA